CAAGUUCCAAAAACUUGCCAUGCCAAAAGAAAAAAGAGAAUUGAUCUUGUAUUGGUUUAAGUCCUUUGCAUGGUUUAGGAAACAACCUAUCCUUAAUGCAAGGCCAUUCACUUGAUCAAUUGAUCAAGAUGAAUUAGAUUUGAAUCAAGGAAGAUUAAGUCUCCCUAAUCAAUGCUAACUUAUCAAUCUUCAACUCAUUGAUCAAAAG
rnacentral:lncRNA from 1 species